UACGGAGGGUGCAAGCGUUGUCCGGAUUUAUUGGGUUUAAAGGGUGCGUAGGCGGCCCGUUAAGUCAGUGGUGAAAGCCUCCAGCUCAACUGGAGAACUGCCAUUGAUACUGACGGGCUUGAGUACAGACGAGGUUGGCGGAAUUGAUUGUGUAGCGGUGAAAUGCGUAGAGAUCGGAAAGAACACCAACGGCGAAAGCACUCUGCUGGGCCGACACUGACACUGAGAGACGAAAGCUAGGGGAGCGAAUGGG
rnacentral:rRNA from 1 species